rnacentral:rRNA from 1 species
AUUGAACGCUGGCGGAAUGCUUUACACAUGCAAGUCGAACGGCAGCACAGACUUCGGUCUGGUGGCGAGUGGCGAACGGGUGAGUAAUGUACCGGAACGUGCCCAGUCGUGGGGGAUAACGUAGUGAAAAUUACGCUAAUACCGCAUACGAUCUAUGGAUGAAAGCGGGGGAUCGCAAGACCUCGCGCGAUUGGAGCGGCCGAUAUCAGAUUAGGUAGUUGGUGGGGUAAAGGCCCACCAAGCCAACGAUCUGUAGCUGGUCUGAGAGGACGACCAGCCACACUGGAACUGAGACACGGUCCAGACUCCUACGGGAGGCAGCAGUGGGGAAUUUUGGACAAUGGGCGAAAGCCUGAUCCAGCCAUUCCGCGUGCAGGAUGAAGGCCCUCGGGUUGUAAACUGCUUUUGUACAGAACGAAAAGGUUUCUACUAAUACUAGGAGCUCAUGACGGUACUGUAAGAAUAAGCACCGGCUAACUACGUGCCAGCCGCCGCGGUAA